UACGUAGGCAGCGAGCGUUGUUCGGAUUCAUUGGGCGUAAAGGGUGCGUAGGCGGCGCGGUAAGUCGGGUGUGAAAUCUCGGGAGCUUAACUCCGAAACUGCAUUCGAUACUGCCGUGCUUGAGGACUGGAGAGGAGACUGGAAUUUACGGUGUAGCGGUGAAAUGCGUAGAUAUCGUAAGGAAGACCAGUGGCGAAGGCGGGUCUCUGGACAGUUCCUGACGCUGAGGCACGAAGGUCAGGGGAGCAAACGGG
rnacentral:rRNA from 1 species